rnacentral:lncRNA from 1 species
CAUUUUUACCCCCCAAACUCUAUAUAAGGUCUAAUUUUGGGGGUAAAACGGUAAAUGGAUAAUAAAUGACCGAAAUACCCAACAUCUAAAUUUUGGGAUAUGUUGGUCAAAUGAGCCCACAAAUAUUUUUAAAAAUAUCUCUAAUCCUCCAUAUACUUCUUUCUCACUCAAUUCUUACUCAAUCUAUCAAUUUUCUACUAAACUACUACCAGUGUUCUAAAAAGUAGCCCAGACGGGAGUCUCCU